rnacentral:pre_miRNA from 1 species
GUGUGGAAAAUCUGUAAAGCUCAGGAGGGAUAGCGCCAUGGAUGGUCUGGAUCUCUUGCAUUAUUUGUUGUGAUCUUCUCUAGCGCUAUCCAUCCUGAGUUUCAUGGCUUCUUCAUAC